rnacentral:rRNA from 1 species
CUGGCGGCAGGCCUAACACAUGCAAGUCGAGCGGAUGAAGGGAGCUUGCUCCCUGAUUCAGCGGCGGACGGGUGAGUAAUGCCUAGGAAUCUGCCUGGUAGUGGGGGACAACGUCUCGAAAGGGACGCUAAUACCGCAUACGUCCUACGGGAGAAAGCAGGGGACCUUCGGGCCUUGCGCUAUCAGAUGAGCCUAGGUCGGAUUAGCUAGUUGGUGAGGUAAUGGCUCACCAAGGCGACGAUCCGUAACUGGUCUGAGAGGAUGAUCAGUCACACUGGAACUGAGACACGGUCCAGACUCCUACGGGAGGCAGCAGUGGGGAAUAUUGGACAAUGGGCGAAAGCCUGAUCCAGCCAUGCCGCGUGUGUGAAAGAAGGUCUUCGGAUUGUAAAGCACUUUAAGUUGGGAGGAAGGGCAUUACCUAAUAC